AACGAACGCUGGCGGCAGGCUUAACACAUGCAAGUCGAACGCACCGUUCGGGGUGAGUGGCAGACGGGUGAGUAACGCGUGGGAAUCUACCCUUCUCUACGGGAUAGCUCCGGGAAACUGGAAUUAAUACCGUAUACGUCCUGAGGGAGAAAGAUUUAUCGGGGAAGGAUGAGCCCGCGUUGGAUUAGCUAGUUGGUGGGGUAAAGGCCUACCAAGGCGACGAUCCAUAGCUGGUCUAAGAGGAUGAUCAGCCACAUUGGGACUGAGACACGGCCCACACUCCUACGGGAGGCAGCAGUGGGGAAUAUUGGACAAUGGGCGCAAGCCUGAUCCAGCCAUGCCGCGUGAGUGAUGAAGGCCCUAGGGUUGUAAAGCUCUUUCAGUGGGGACGAUAAUGACGGUACCCACAGAAGAAGCCCCGGCUAACUUCGUG
rnacentral:rRNA from 1 species